rnacentral:lncRNA from 1 species
CUUUGUCCUAUACCAUGGUCCUAAAACUAGACCACUGGUAUAAAAAAGUCUCUUUAUAAUGAAAAAGAAAGGUUGAAGAAAACAAGGAUGGAACAUUUGAUUCAAAGAUGGCCCCCAAAUCAUAAAAUUGGAAGGAUCGGAGAUAAAUAUCUGAGGGUUAAUAGAGGAAAGAAUUUUUGAAGAUUCAAGAUUUUUCUUUCAUUCUUCCAAUCUUUUAGCC